UACGGAGGGUGCAAGCGUUAUCCGGAUUCACUGGGCGUAAAGGGCGCGUAGGUGGGCAGGUAAGUCAGUGGUGAAAUCUCCGGGCUUAACUCGGAAACUGCCAUUGAUACUAUCUGUCUUGAAUACCGUGGAGGUCAGCGGAAUAUGUCAUGUAGCGGUGAAAUGCUUAGAUAUGACAUAGAACACCAAUUGCGAAGGCAGCUGGCUAGACGAAUAUUGACACUGAUGCACGAAAGCGUGGGGAUCAAACAGG
rnacentral:rRNA from 1 species